CUACUGUCAUACAGGCUGGCGUGCAGUAGUGGGAUCUUGGUGCACCAUACCAAAGUGUUGCAGCCUGGAACUCCUAGGCUCAAGGCAUCUCCAGGAGCGCGCCACAAGCCUGGCUGAUUUUUUUUUUUUUUUUGGUAGACAGAGUCUCGCUAUGUUGCCCAGGCUGGUCUCAAACUCCUGAGCUCAAGCCAUCCUCCUGCGUUGACCUCCCAAAGUGCUGGGAUUACAGGGGAGAGCUGCUGCGCCCAGCCCAGUCUACUCCCUCGAGUUCCCUGUCCAGAGACCCACAUCUGGAGCAGGGUGGGGAGUCAGAGCAGGUCCCAGCCCACGCUCUAGGGCUCAGCUCAGAUGAUGUGAGCCUGGGGCAGCACCUCUGGGCAUAGUGGGCUCUGGCUGGCAGGACAGGACAGGCUGGCCCAGAUCUGGGGGUCUCUGCUGGGUGUUAGAUUUGUGGAGUCUUUGUGCUGCUUCUGGGGUGGUGGGGCAAUUCUGGGCCUCUCCAGGCCUGUCCUGCCUUUUCUUUUUUUUUUUAGAUGGAGUCUCACUCUGUCAGCCAGGCUGGAGUGCAAUGGCAUGAUCUCAGCUCACUGCAAGCUCCGCCUCCCGGGUACAAGCGAUUCUCAGGCCUCAGCCUCCUAAGUGGGAUUACAGGCACCUGUCACCACGCCUGGCUAAUUUUUGUAUUUUUAGUAGAGUCAGGCUUCCUCCAUGUUGGCCAUGCUGGUCUCAAAUUCUGAAAGAGGAGAAUUGCCUGAACCUAGGAGGUGGAGGCUGCAGCGAGCUGAGAUUGCACCACUGCACUCCAGCCUGGGCAACAAAGUGAGACUCGGUCUCAAACAAACAAAAAGGCAGGACAGGCCUGGAACUGCCCCUCCCCCCCAGGACGGGUGUUGUCUAGGGCUUGCUGACCUCACAGUCUGUGAGAUCAGGCAGCCCCGGGCCUUGGCUGCCCAGGAGUGAAUUAUUUCCAGGCGCCAUCAUCACUCCGACUAUAGAAUCAACAGGAUUUGACAGGUGCAGCUUUCGACUGCUCUGUUGAGAGGGUGGAGACAGAAGCAAAAGCUGCCCACAGAAAGGCGACAGGGAACCCCAGAGCUAGGUCCCAAGAGCCUCUUGGUGAUGGAGGAGAGCCACCAAGGGACAGGAGGGUUGGGGGAACUGGAGCUCCGGCCCAGGGACAGAGCCCCAAACCACCUCCAGCCCAGGCACAGAGCCCCAGACCACCGAAGCCCUAUGCCACCAUGGCAGAGCCCAGGGCAGGGCAGGGGUCAGGCUGGCCCCCCCAAACACCUCCCCACCAUUCCCACAUGCAUACACCAGGACCUGGGGGGUUGCAACAGUGCCAGAGGUCACGGGUUGGCAGGGGAGGGAGAGGAGGAAGAAAGCAGAAGAGCAGAGGGAUGCGGGUGAGGCUGGGCUUGUCUCAGACAGUCUGGCACUAGCCCUCAAAGCUCAGAAUCCCUGAUAUGGGGGCUAAGCCCCACUGCCAUACUGCCCCUCCCAGGGAAAUUGCCCCCCAGGGAAUAUGGGGGGAACCUCUGAGUGUAGCUCCCCUGGGGCCUGGAGGGCAUAUCAAGACAUGGGGGAUAGUGAACAGCAUCAUAGCUCUAAGUGUCCCUGAUCUGGCUGGGCGUGGUGGCUCACCCCUGUAAUCGCAGCACUUUGGGAGGCUGAAGGGGGCAGAUUAGCUGAGGUCAGGAAUUCAAGACCAGCCUGGCCAACAUGGCAAAACCCGUCUCUACUAAAAAUACAAAAAUUAGCCGGGUGUGGUGGCGCACGCCUGUAAUCCCAGCUACUCAAGAGGUUGCAGUGAGCUGAGAUCAGGCCACUGCACUCCAGCCUGGGCAACAGAGCAAAACUUUCAGGAAAAAAAAAAAGUGUCCCUGAUCUGUAAAUGUGUAGUGGAAACUAUAGAAAGGCACUGCAGGCUGGGCGCAGGGGCUCACACCUGUAAUCCCAGCACCUUGGGGGGCCUAGGCAGGAGAUUUACUUGACACCAGGAGUUAGAGAGCAGCCUGGGCAACAUAGCAAGAACUCAUCCCUGC
rnacentral:lncRNA from 1 species